rnacentral:rRNA from 1 species
GCUAACGACGUGCCAGCAGCCGCGGUAAAACGUAGGAUCCGAGCGUUAUCCGAAUUCACUGGGCGUAAAGCGCAUGCAGGCGGCCGAGCAAGUUGGAUGUGAAAGCUCCCGGCUCAACUGGGAGAGGACGUACAAGACUGUUCGGCUCGAGGACGGUAGAGGGAGGUGGAAUUCCCGGUGUAGUGGUGAAAUGCGUAGAUAUCGGGAGGAACACCAGAGGCGAAGGCGGCCUCCUGGACCGGACCUGACGCUCAGAUGCGAAAGCUAGGGGAGCGAACGGGAUUAGAUACCCCUGUAGUC